AACGAACGCUGGCGGCAUGCCUAACACAUGCAAGUCGAACGAGACCUUCGGGUAUAGUGGCGCACGGGUGCGUAACGCGUGGGAACCUGCCCUUAGGUUCGGAAUAACUCCCCGAAAGGGGUGCUAAUACCGGAUAAUGUCUUCGGACCAAAGAUUUAUCGCCUUUGGAUGGGCCUGCGUUGGAUUAGCUAGUUGGUAGGGUAAACGCCUACCAAGGCGACGAUCCAUAGCUGGUCUGAGAGGAUGGUCAGCCACACUGGGACUGAGACACGGCCCAGACUCCUACGGGAGGCAGCAGUGGGGAAUAUUGGACAAUGGGCGAAAGCCUGAUCCAGCAAUGCCGCGUGAGUGAUGAAGGCCUUAGGGUUGUAAAGCUCUUUUACCCGGGAUGAUAAUGACAGUACCGGGAGAAUAAGCUCCGGCUAACUCCGUG
rnacentral:rRNA from 1 species